rnacentral:rRNA from 1 species
GACAGAGGUGCCGAGCGUUAGGCGGAAUCACUGGGCUUAAAGCGUGUGUAGGCGGAUGCCUAAGUACUUUGUGAAAUCCCACGGCUUAACUGUGGAACUGCUUGGUAUACCGGGUGUCUUGAGCCACUUAGGGGCGACCGGAACAAACGGUGGAGCGGUGAAAUGCGUAGAUAUCGGGUGGAACGCCGAUGGUGAAAGCAGGUCGCUGGGAGUGUGCUGACGCUGAGACACGAAAGCCAGGGGAGCAAACGGG